ensembl:misc_RNA
GGGUGAGCGCCUGCCUGCCUGGAGUCGCGUUGAGAGGAUUCCACUACGCUGCCUCUAUUAUUAUACCGUAAAUCUCUUUAAAUUCUGGAACUAAUUACGUAGAGGAUAUGUCUCAAUUUGUUCUGCAUUGAUGCCGCAGCGGGGACGGGGGCCAGGCCAUGGCUGCUCAGAUACAUGGGCCCAUGAAAUUGAUGAACUGAGAGCUGCUUCCAGCCCUGCGCGCACCAUCUGGAAUUCCAGUCUGAGGUUACAAUUAGAACUCCUGACCCCAGAUUCAACUUUGCAAACAAC